UCAGUUAGUAUCCAAUAGGAAGUGAUCAAACAAUUAAAUUUUAUCAAGUAUUCUGGAGGUUCUCAGAAAGUGUCCAAGAUACGGUUUGUGACCUCAUGGAGUUCAUUGUCCAUGAAGAGCUUUAGUCCAUCUGGCCAUAUAAAGGUGCUUUCCUACGAUAAAGGGACAGUCAACUAUCUCACUAACACAAGCAGGUUUCUGCUUUGACUACAUCUCAUUUCCCUGUUCCACUACCUGUCCGGUAGCCCUUCUUGCUAAACUUCUCAGGACCUUUAGCUGUUCAUUUGGAGAUUCUGGCACAAGAACACAACGUUGUGGAAAAAUAUGUCACCAGAAUUGGAAGAAGGAAUCACUGGACACCCGCAAUGGAAAUACCUAGAUAAUUUGAGUAAUACAAUACAUGACUAAAGAAAUGUGGUGAUAGGGAAAGCAUAAGAUGAGUCCUUUAGCUUUAAGAGAUUUUAGAUCCAACUAAAUAAACAUUUUAUAGAAAUGA